UGGGGAAUAUUGCACAAUGGGCGCAAGCCUGAUGCAGCCAUGCCGCGUGUAUGAAGAAGGCCUUCGGGUUGUAAAGUACUUUCAGCGGGGAGGAAGGCGAUGGGGUUAAUAACCCUGUCGAUUGACGUUACCCGCAGAAGAAGCACCGGCUAACUCCGUGCCAGCAGCCGCGGUAAUACGGAGGGUGCAAGCGUUAAUCGGAAUUACUGGGCGUAAAGCGCACGCAGGCGGUCUGUUAAGUCAGAUGUGAAAUCCCCGGGCUUAACCUGGGAACUGCAUUUGAAACUGGCAGGCUUGAGUCUUGUAGAGGGGGGUAGAAUUCCAGGUGUAGCGGUGAAAUGCGUAGAGAUCUGGAGGAAUACCGGUGGCGAAGGCGGCCCCCUGGACAAAGACUGACGCUCAGGUGCGAAAGCGUGGGGAGCAAACAGG
rnacentral:rRNA from 1 species